rnacentral:ncRNA from 1 species
ACGGAUGUCGUUCCGUUGGGAUGUAACAGAUGGUUGAACCACAAA